UUGAAAGGCCUUAAGCUCAACACGCCUACGUGAAUCCUCUUCAUGAUGCUCCUGUUGCUCAACACGCAUGUUCUCGAGCAAGGCAAUAAUGGAUGAUUCUUCACCAAAUGAGCCAAUACCAGAGGGGUUCAUAUAAGUAGUGCCAUGUUGGGUCCAUGAGUUUUGUUUCCAUUGGCCCUAACAUUGUGAGUCAUCAUGUGUGCCUUCAAAACCUUUCCAUUCAGGAG
rnacentral:lncRNA from 1 species